GGCUCCAUAGCUCAGUGGUUAGAGCACUGGUCUUGUAAACAAGGGUUCAUAAGUUCAAUCCUCAAUGGGGCCU